UGUUCCAAGAAACUGAUAAGCACUUCACGACUGUCUCGAAAUCAUCAUAAUUUUCAUAUAAAAUGCUGCAAAUUUACCUUCAGUGGCAUUUUACGUUCAGCUUAUCAACUGACUUUUAUUCAAGAUGAUGGAAUUUUUAUUGCUUGUUUUUGUCAUGGCUUUCGCUGUGAUCACUAGCUUCGCUUUGGCUUACCCCAACCCGGUCCCUCAUGCUGUUCCAGGAGCUUUACCAUAUCCUCAGUAUGGGUACUAUCCCAAUGGCUAUUACCCAUAAUAAUGAUUCAUGGAAAAUGUAAUGUUGGAAUAAUAAAUAAACAUAUGUAACA